rnacentral:misc_RNA from 1 species
GAAAUGCGCUAAGUAAUGUGAAUUGCAGAAUUCAGUGAAUCAUCGAAUCUUUGAACGCACCUUGCGCUCAUUGGUAUUCCUUGGAGCAUGCCUGUUUGAGUAUCAUGAAAUCUUCAAAGUAAAUCUUUUGUUAACUCAAUUGGUUUCUACUUUGGUAUUGGAGGUCUUUGCAGCUUCACACCUGCUCCUCUUUGUUCAUUAGCUGGAUCUCAGUGUUAUGCUUGGUUCCACUCGGCGUGAUAAGUUAUCUAUCGCUGAGGACACUGUAAAAGGUGGCCAAGGUAAAUGCAGAUGAACCGCUUCUAAUAGUCCAUUGACUUGGACAAUACUUUUAUGAUCUGAUCUCAAAUCAGGUAGGACUACCCGCUGAACUUAAGC